AAUUUGCGUGAGGGAUAGCAGUGGAAAUCCUUUUUUUUCCCGCCUUUUUGCGGGAUAAAAAAAGAUUGCAACGAAUAGCCCGGCCCUUG
rnacentral:sRNA from 1 species